CAAGUCACCACCUCCUCCAUCACCUACUUAUGUUUACAAGUCACCACCACCACCAGUGAAGUCACCUCCCUAUUACUAUCAAUCUCCACCUCCACCAUCACCAAAACCUCAGCCUCCUUAUUAUUAUCACUCUCCACCUCCUCCAACACCAGUUGUUAAGCCACCAUACUACUACCAAUCUCCACCUCCUCCAUCUCCAAAACCUAAGCCUCCAUACUACUACCAAUCUCCUCCUCCUCCAUCACCAAAACCUAAACCUCCUUACUACUACCAAUCUCCACCUCCUCCAUCACCAAAACCUCAGCCUCCAUACUACUAUCAAUCUCCACCUCCUCCAACACCAGUUGUGAAGCCACCAUACUACUACCAAUCUCCACCUCCUCCAUCACCAAAACCUCAGCCUCCUUACUAUUACCAAUCUCCACCUCCUCCAACACCAGUUGUUAAGCCACCAUACUACUAUAAAUCUCCACCUCCCCCAUCACCCUCUCCUCCACCACCAUACUACUACAAAUCUCCACCACCACCAUCCCCAUCACCGCCACCUCCAUACUACUAUAAAUCUCCACCUCCACCAUCACCGGUUGUUAAGCCACCAUACUACUAUAAAUCCCCACCUCCCCCAUCACCCUCUCCUCCCCCUCCAUACUACUAUAAAUCUCCACCUCCAUACUACUACCACUCUCCACCUCCACCAUCACCAGUUGUUAAGCCACCAUACUACUACAAAUCUCCACCUCCACCAUCACCCUCACCUCCCCCUCCAUACUACUAUAAAUCUCCACCCCCACCUUCACCAUCCCCUCCUCCUCCAUACUAUUAUAAAUCACCACCACCACCAUCCCCAUCACCGCCACCUCCAUACUAUUACAAAUCCCCUCCACCUCCAUCCCCAUCUCCACCGCCUCCUUAUUACUAUCACAGUCCUCCUCCACCAUCUCCCACUCCUCAUCCUCCCUACUACUACAAAUCCCCUCCACCACCAACGUCCUAUCCUCCACCUCCUUACCACUAUGUGAGCCCUCCACCACCUUCUCCAUCUCCACCUCCACCAUACUAUUACAAAUCAC
rnacentral:lncRNA from 1 species